rnacentral:rRNA from 1 species
UACGUAGGUGGCAAGCGUUGUCCGGAUUUAUUGGGUUUAAAGGGUGCGUAGGCGGUCUAUUAAGUCAGUGCUGAAAUAUCCCGGCUUAACCGGGAGGGUGGCAUUGAUACUGAUGGACUUGAGUAAAGUUGAGGUUGGCGGAAUUGACGGUGUAGCGGUGAAAUGCUUAGAUAUCGUCAAGAACACCUAUUGCGAAGGCAGCUAACUAAGCUUAAACUGACGCUGAGGCACGAAAAGUGUGGGGGAUCAAAACAGGG